rnacentral:ncRNA from 1 species
AAGAGCCGUAUGCGUAAAUAGCGCAUGUACGGUUCUGUGAGGGUUUGGUGCCACAAACGCGCCAUUCUACUCGAC